CUCACAGUCAGACAGCGGAGCUCCUUAAGUCCGACACAGUCUUACCAGAUUUGCAAUUACCCAUCAAUUUUUGUUAAACGGCCCAUAUUUGAGCUCUAAAUAGUUGAUUUCUUGCAUAAAAAAGUCUCAAAAGUGAAUUUAGUAAUGCAAUAGCAGACAAACCAUGUAUGAAAUUUCUCUGUCUUAAAUAUAAGAGUUUC